AUACGGAGGGUGCAAGCGUUAUUCGGAAUCACUGGGCGUAAAGGACGCGUAGGCGGGUAGGCAAGUCAGAUGUGAAAUCCUACAGCUUAACUGUAGAACUGCAUUUGAAACUGCUAACCUAGAGUAUGGGAGGGGGAGAUGGAAUUAGUGGUGUAGGGGUAAAAUCCGUAGAUAUCACUAGGAAUACCGAAAGCGAAGGCGAUCUCCUGGAACAUAACUGACGCUAAGGCGUGAAAGCGUGGGGAGCAAACAGGAUUAGAUACCCUAGUAGUCC
rnacentral:rRNA from 1 species